GUUACAGUUUGGGGAUUAGGUAUUGCAACGUAGACCACCAUUUUAAGGAACACAAAGCAUGGAAGUCACCACCUGGGAAUUCCUGACCUUGGUGUUUUUCACUUGAGGAAGGGUGUGAAAAUACCAACUUUUCCACUGCACAGAUUGCUGGCUUUCUUAUCAAUUUUGUUUUUUAAAACAAAGAAGAAAGGCUUAAAAUAAUGCAGGUGAGGGAUAGGAGACAAGUUAUGAAAGAAAGGGUCAGGGAGAGAAAUGUAGAGAAACAGCAUUCUAAUAUACUGUAACUAAUUAAAACCUAGGGAAGAACAAUUACAAGAACAGGUGUUUGUGAAAGGGCAUUGAGUUUCAACACCUGUGAUUUGCUCAGAAAGGCCCAGCAAGCACAGGUGAAACCAGUACAAAUUAGUUCUCCAGUUGCUGGGGGGUCCAGGAGAGUGACGGCCAAUCAGGGCCAAGUUGGCCUAAUUAAAUAAUUAUCAGCUGUUUCUGUGCUUAGUUUGAGUGAGGUGGGGGAAGAGGGUAUGUCAUUUAUGAAUGUUUUCUGGUAGUGAAAGGCAGGUCCUGGAGAAUGGCAUCCUACCUUAAGAACUGAUCCAAAGCUCACUGAAUCACAAAGAAAGAAUCCCAUCCAUGUCAGUGGAGUUUGCAUCAAUCCUGAAAUGUCAACAGAUGACCACUAAGUUACAGGGCUGCAAAAAUUCUAGCCUACAUCCAUCCUGGUCAUGGAAGGAGACAACUGAUGGUUGCUCCAGGGCUCCCGGAUGACAGCUGCCUUGACAAUGGCCAGAUGAGCAAGCAAGGAUACCAGAAGUGAAGCUGUGUGCAUCUCUUGCCUCUGUAAGGGUAAAAGGAACUCUUGGUCACAUCCCAACCAUGGAAAUAUCUCAAUAGUUUCAGUGUAUGAGAGAUAGAUACAAUAACAAAUAGAACAGUGAUUUUUACACCUAUGCUACAUAAUCAUUUAGCCACUUCUUCAGUUGCACAACAGAACUUUGCACUCUUUUGGAGUUUUGUUCUGCAGAGUGAAGAACAAGAGCAGUAGCUUUCAAUUAUUUUACAGGCACUGCAAUGUGGCAGCAAUGGAUUGCAGACAAUCAUGAGCCGAGUUUGAAACAGACAGCUCUAGUGCCUACAACAGGAUAAAGUGGCACAGGGAGGUCAGCACUUUAAUGCCAAGUAGGUUGUAUUUUGCCUCCCAAGCAACAUGGUCACAUGUGGAACUCCACAUAACCAUGGCUUCAAGCAUCCAGCUUUGCUAGCUUAUAUACCACUUUGCUGCAAUGAAGAGAUAUGGAAGCUACAAAGGAGGCCUAGCAAGGAGCAUUUCAUAUGCAGGCUUGAGGAUACUUAAAUAGAGUUGACUUCAAAUUGUUCUUUUGGGGGAAAAAAAAAAAAAGACAACUAAAUCAGGAGAAAACAGGAUGUAUCUGAAUUGUUCUGACAAAUUCUUAAUGAUAAUUGAAAAUAUUUUAAGUUGAAACAACUCCUUUUCCUCUCCUGCUCCUUCAAGCUCUCUAAGGCUGUGUUUAGAAAACACUGAAGUCAAACUGACCAGUUGGUAAAUGGGGGGUUCUGAAAUUAGUGAGGCUGAACCUCAGCUGAAGUUGUCUAAGCCAUUGGUUGCUGGCUUUGAAUUUGUUCUCAUAAAGUUGCUCACAGCAGCGACACAUUUGGAAAUGCAGAGAUGACUUAAGAAAAGGGUUAUAAAAGACUUUACUAAUGAAUGUGUGUCACAACUGCUUUGGCUCUUGUUCCCAUAGCAUACUUCCAACAAAAUCAAAUGUAGAUUCCUAAGGGCAUAAGUUGGAAGUCAUCCUGCCUCAAAGAGCUUGGACCUCUCUCUUAAGUAGGACAGAACUCUGCUGAGACCUCACAGAAGUAUUGACUGCAAAUGACUGUGGGCAACAAUUUCAAAGAACCUUCAGAGAUUUACUUGUAUAGUUAUUGUCUCUUAAGAGAGAGUUAUUAGGUACAGUUGCUUUAUUCAUGAAUCUCAGAAUUAAUUUUAAUCCAGCAUUCUAAUAAGUGUUCAAGGCAUUUUACUUCAUCGUUUUCAGGUCUUGUCCCCUAGACAAAAAGGUCUAUUUUUAACUUGUACCACUUCAAUCAAGUUACAACCUGAAAUUAGUAAUACAACUCAACCUACUAACUGGUGCAUGGAAUAGUUAAGAGGUCACAGUAAAUGCCAGCAGCACUUUCUGUAAAACAAAUACACAACAAGCAAAGACAAGACCAGUCAGUAAAUAAAGGUGAGUUGAAAUCAACUUUGUUGGAAAGGAGAAGUGUUAUAAUGAAAUUACAGUGCUUUGUAAGACUUAAAGUGAUGUCCACCAUAAAAGAUAAAAUUAAUUUACUGGAAAUAAACUUGUGAAUAUGAGUACCAUUUUGUGAAAGGCCAAGUUCUGACAUUUAGUAAAGCUGUAAAAAUGUUUUUGAAAGCAGCCCUUCAUUGUGAUUAUCACUGUUCUUAUGCAUUAAAAUUGAAAGAACUAAGAAAGACCAAAAAGGACUGAAAGAGUAAAAUAUUUUGCAAUUUCGAAGUAUUUGAUACAUUGAAGCUUUAAGAUGUUUUAAUACUCCUUGCUCUGCAAACAUGCUUCAGUUUGUUAAUAAAGAAAUGUUCUGAUACAAAGCAUCCACGAGGAUUAACAUGCAAAUAAAAUGCAUAUGACAAAUUAUAUCUGCACAGGUUCUCUGUCCAGGGGGGGUCUCCUUUUCUAAAACAUCAUACUCUUGUACCUGGGCAUGAACUGUCCUGAAUCAGGGGAGGUGUGAAUCCAUACGAUAUAUUCACAGCUGUGUUUGCAUUCAAAACUUCCAUACCUCCAGUUAGACAAGGGAAAUAGUUCACCCAUCCCAAAGGAUGAUACAUGGCUAUCAUUUAAGGACAAAAGUCUGCACAACCAGCUUGUUUGGAAGCUUUAAACUGUACCAUACAUUCAAAAUAACUUAUGAGAAGGGACAAUGAGAUGAGCAACGAGAACAAGGACAGACAACAGUGCAAGGGAAUGUGGUGACUGUCCACUAAAGAGGUCCUUGGUGGAACAGGGUGAGGACAGAAGCUGUUCCAGAAAAGGGAAAAAGGAGCGCUUUGGUAACAAAAAAAAGAGAGGAAUGGAAGAAAGCACUACCAGCCAAGGGAAAGUGCUCGUGUUCUGUGGGAAUAAGUGCCUGUCAGUCUGCAAGGCUGACUAUGUCAGCCUCUAGAAAGGAAGCACAGGGUGCUCAUAUUUUUAGGGUGACAACAAGGUCUGUGGAACAGGGAAGCAAGACAGCAAGCCACAGGGUCAGGGAAUAUGCAUUAGGGAGGUCUGAUGGGGGCAGCAAGGAAGAUAAACUGAGCUGGAGAUGAUGAAAAACUGACAACUAGAAGUCACCAUGCUCUGUGCUUAAAGCCUGAGUGCUUUGCUGUGUGGGUCAUUCUGGAAGGAUAAUCUUGUCAGUGGCCAGAAAGGAACACUGAAGUCCCUUUUGUUUUACACACAUCCACAAUCCCAGAAGGAUAAAGA
rnacentral:lncRNA from 1 species